rnacentral:rRNA from 1 species
UGCAGUCGAGCGGAUGAGUGGAGCUUGCUCCAUGAUUCAGCGGCGGACGGGUGAGUAAUGCCUAGGAAUCUGCCUGGUAGUGGGGGAUAACGUUUCGAAAGGAACGCUAAUACCGCAUACGUCCUACGGGAGAAAGUGGGGGAUCUUAGGACCUCACGCUAUCAGAUGAGCCUAGGUCGGAUUAGCUAGUUGGUGGGGUAAUGGCCCACCAAGGCGACGAUCCGUAACUGGUCUGAGAGGAUGAUCAGUCACACUGGAACUGAGACACGGUCCAGACUCCUACGGGAGGCAGCAGUGGGGAAUAUUGGACAAUGGGCGAAAGCCUGAUCCAGCCAUGCCGCGUGUGUGAAGAAGGUCUUCGGAUUGUAAAGCACUUUAAGUUGGGAGGAAGGGCAGUAAGCUAAUACCUUGCUGUUUUGACGUUACCAACAGAAUAAGCACCGGCUAACUUCGUGCCAGCA